UUGGCUUAGAAGCAGCCAUCCUUGAAAGAGUGCGUAAUAGCUCACUGGUCAAGUGAUCGUGCGCCGACAAUGUAGCGGGGCUCAAGCACACCGCCGAAGCCGCGGACCCAUGACGUUGUUCCCUUCACUGUCCGGCUUGUCCGGGUGGUGGCAGGGGUUGUGGGUGGUAGGGGAGCGUCCUGCACCGGGGGAAGCCUGUGGGUGACUGCUGGUGGACGGUGCGGGAGUGAGAAUGCAGGCAUGAGUAGCGAUACUAGGGUGAGAAGCCCUAGCGCCGAAUGACCAAGGGUUCCAGGGCCAGGCUAGUCCGCCCUGGGUGAGUCGGGACCUAAGGCGAGGCCGACAGGCGUAGUCGAUGGAUGACGGGUUGAUAUUCCCGUACCGGCGAAGCACCGCCCAUGCUGACGCGCGGGUGCUAACCCACGCCCAACCACCAUGUAAGCCGCAUGUGUCAGGUUCGCCUGACGGUGUGGUUGUGGUGGUGGGGUCUGGGGAUCCUCCGUGCAGGUAGGCAAGCGUGUUAACAGGGGUGACGCACAGUGGUAGCCCGGCGGACCUGAUGGCUUGGUCCGUUCAAGCGCGCAGCCCGUCUCCCAGGUAAAUCCGGGGGACUGUCUUUGAUGACGGGGGUGAGGCGUGAUGGUGACCUCACACUGGUGGGGGAUAACAGGGUGAUCCUGGGGUGCCGAGAAAAGCCUCGACGCGAUGGUGCCAGCCGCCCGUACCCUAAACCGACACAGGUGGUCGGGCAGAGUAUGCCUAGGCGCACGAGUGAAUCAUGGUUAAGGAACUCGGCAAAAUGCCCCCGUAACUUCGGGAGAAGGGGGGCCUGAUCCCUGAAGCCCCAUCGCGGGCUAGGGGGGAGGGUCGCAGAGGCCAGGGGGAAGCGACUGUUUACUAAAAACACAGGUCCGUGCGAAGCCGUAAGGCGAUGUAUACGGACUGACGCCUGCCCGGUGCUGGAAGGUUAAGAGGAACCAUCAACCCCCUCGGGGGUGAAGUGGUGAAUUUAAGCCCCAGUAAACGGCGGUGGUAACUAUAACCAUCCUAAGGUAGCGAAAUUCCUUGUCGGGUAAGUUCCGACCUGCACGAAUGGCGUAACGACUUCCCCGCUGUCUCAACCAUGAGCUCGGCGAAAUUGCAGUACGAGUAAAGAUGCUCGUUUCGCGCAGAAGGACGGAAAGACCCCGGGACCUUUACUACAGCUUGGUAUUGGCGCCCGCUAUAGCUUGUGCAGGAUAGGUGGGAGACGUUGAAGCCGCUACGCCAGUAGUGGUGGAGUCGUCCUUGAAAUACCACUCUGGUUAUGGCGUGCGCCUGAACCUGGGCCCGUGAUCCGGGUUAGGGACAGUGCCUGGUGGGUAGUUUAACUGGGGCGGUUGCCUCCUAAAGUGUAACGGAGGCGCUCAAAGGUUCCCUCAGCCUGGUCGGUAACCAGGUGUUGAGUGUAAGUGCACAAGGGGGCUUGACUGUGAGACUGACGGGUCGAGCAGGUACGAAAGUAGGAACUAGUGAUCCGGCGAUCCCGUGUGGGUGGGUCGUCGCUCAACGGAUAAAAGGUACCCCGGGGAUAACAGGCUGAUCCUGCC
rnacentral:rRNA from 1 species